rnacentral:lncRNA from 1 species
AGAUGCAUUUCUCACGGAUACGUCAGAAUAGGGGAUUGUUGUUUGGACGCGAUGCCGGCGGAACGUGGAAUCGGAGUCUCCCGAAACAAAGGAAGAUUAAAGAAGAAGACAAAAAGGAAGAUUCAUUGAUAAACCUGGCAGUUGGGAUAAGAGUUUCAGGGUCCGGGAGAGGAGGAUAGACGAAGUGGGUUUGGCGUCAAAAGGACAGGAUCUCUCGGAGACGAAGCCUGACAUUCCAUCAUGGGUAACUUCCAAACGUGUGAGAAAGCUUUUUGGGUUUGCAGAUUGGGUCAGAGACUCGCGGUAAUCCCCAAUCCGCUCUUCUUUCGGCUUCGCAAAGAAAAACCCUAAUCGUAGCCGCACAACGCUGGGGUGUGUUUUUUUUUGUUGUGUUUGGUCUCACAGCCAGAGAUCCGAGCGACGGCGCUCCACUUCAG